rnacentral:lncRNA from 1 species
UACUAAUUUAGUCCCUAUUGGUCAAUUUUCCUAUGGUUUAUGUUGUUUUCCGAGUCGUGUCCGAAAUUCAUACCCAUACUCACUAGAGCAGUGUAACAAGUAAUUAACCUUCAUUGCCUCUAAUUGACCACGAUUGGGCCUAAUUGACCAUCGUUGAGCUUAACAACCCUAACUAACUUUCAUUGGGCCUAAUUGACCUUUAUUAAGCCUAACUAACUAUCACUAGGGCUAGUUGACAAUCAUUAGCCCUACUUGACCUUUUGAGCCUAAUUGGUCACCAUUGAGCUCAACAACCCUAACUACCUUCAUUAGGUUCGUGUUAUUUUCGGGUCGUGUUAGAAUUCACACUCUACUCACUAGAGCAUUCUAACAACUAAUUCACCUUUAUUGGCCCUAAUUAAUCGUCAUUUAGGUCAACAACCCUAACUGACAUUCAUUGGGCCUAAUUGACCAUCGUUGAGCUUAACAACCCUAACUGGCCUUCAUUAGGCCUAAUUAACCUUUAUUAAGCUCAACUAACUAUCAUUGAAGCCUAAUUGACCAUCAUUGAGCUCAAAAACCGUAAUUAACCAUCAUUUGGCCUAAAUGACCAUCAUUGGGUCUAUUUGAUCACCGCUAGGCUUAAUUGGCCAUCACUGAGCCUCCACAACUCUAACUAGCCUUCAUUGAACCUAGUUUACCAUCGUUGGGUCUAAUUGAUCGUCAUUGGGCCUAAUUGACAAUCAUUGAGCUCAACAACCCUAACUGACCUUCAUUGGGCCUAAUUGACCUUUAAGAACCCAAAUAACCAUCAUUGGGCCUAAAUGACUGGCUCUAAUUGACCGGUUAUACCAAUUAACCGAACCGAUUAUUGAAAUUAACCAAUUUGUGCAACUCUAUGACAUACUAGUGUCCAUUGUGAUCUAACAAGGCCCAAUAUCGUCCAUUAAGCCAUAUAUGACUUUUUGUUGUAAUAAAUCUGUCACACCCCCACCCGCAGCGGACAAGGUGAUCGGGGCAUGAUUGUUUGAUACAAAGCUCAUGACAUACUAUUUAAUAGUCCAAUAUUUAUUAAUUUCCCAUUUAAAAAUAUGUAAUAAAUUAGUUAUUUAUAUGUAAUAAUCAACGUUUUCAAAACCGGACCAUACCGGCCGGUCGAACCAGUCCGGCCGGGGACCGGCGAAGGAGGCGGCCCGGUUCUGCUUAGUUAACCGGUUUUACAAAGGACCGGCCGGUUAGCGGCGGUUUGCGGUCAAACCGGUGAACCAGGAACGGAGGUUCAACCGGAAAUAAUGGAACAAGGCUUCAUUUUGCACAGAUCUGACAAAAAACAACAUCGAUAAACAACAAAGAAAUCCAACAAAUGCCUUCAAUAACCAACCUACGAUCUUUAAUCCACACGAGAUCAGCCUUUUAUCUGCAUCAAGACCCUUUGAUUUUCAUAAUAGACUAUGAUAAGUGUGGCUAACGGAGAUAACAUAGAUAAGAUCUGGAAAGUUGCCUAGGUAGAAGAAAAGAGCAGUACACUUUGAACUUUUAACCUAAUAAAAUAUUGAGAUACAAUAAUAGAAUUUGGGCUUUGUUAAAAAGGUUAAAUAAAUGAAAAUGGGCUCAUAUAAAGCCUUGCUGGUUAUAUAUGUAAAAAUGGGCUCAUAUGAAUCCUAUUAAUUUUUAUAAUAUUUAUGAUACCUUCCGGUUCUUACGUCCGGUCCGACUGGUUGGACCGGUCGGACCAUUGAACCAGUAAGAAGACCGGUUCGACGUCCGGUCCGGUUCUGAAAACAUUGGUAAUAAUUUUUCAAACAAUACAUAAACCAAAAUGUUUAUAAAUUAGUUAUUUAUAUGUAAUAAUAUUUCAUAAUAGUUUGUUAUUUAUCUAUGAUUAGAUUUAAAAUUCUAAUUGUA